rnacentral:rRNA from 1 species
UGGGGAAUAUUGGACAAUGGGCGCAAGCCUGAUCCAGCCAUGCCGCGUGUGUGAAGAAGGCCUUAGGGUUGUAAAGCACUUUCAGGGGUGAGGAAGGGUGUUUGGUUAAUAUCCAAACAUUUUGACGUUAGCCCCAGAAGAAGCACCGGCUAACUCUGUGCCAGCAGCCGCGGUAAUACAGAGGGUGCAAGCGUUAAUCGGAAUUACUGGGCGUAAAGCGCGCGUAGGUGGUUUGUUAAGUCGGAUGUGAAAUCCCAGGGCUCAACCUUGGAAUGGCACCCGAUACUGGCAGGCUAGAGUAUGGUAGAGGGGUGUGGAAUUUCCUGUGUAGCGGUGAAAUGCGUAGAUAUAGGAAGGAACAUCAGUGGCGAAGGCGACACCCUGG